UUUUAGCUCCGAUUAAACGGCAUGUUUGAGCUCUUUUCAUUGGUUUUAUCGCGGCGGCUUCGCCGCCGCGAUAAAACCAAUGAAAAAGCGAGUAGUGAAAGCGGGAAAUAGC
rnacentral:misc_RNA from 1 species